UACGGGGGGAGCAAGCGUUGUUCGGAUUUACUGGGCGUAAAGGGCGCGUAGGCGGCCAACUAAGUCACACGUGAAAUCCCCAGGCUUAACCUGGGAACUGCGUGUGAUACUGGAUGGCUUGAAUUCGGGAGAGGGAUGCAGAAUUCCAGGUGUAGCGGUGAAAUGCGUAGAUAUCUGGAGGAAUACCGGUGGCGAAGGCGGCAUCCUGGACCGACAUUGACGCUGAGGCGCGAAAGCUAGGGGAGCAAACGGG
rnacentral:rRNA from 1 species